rnacentral:misc_RNA from 1 species
GCCACGCCCGAAGUCAUUACCCCAACCGUAAGGGGGGGGAUGCCUAAGGUAGGACUGAUGACUGGGGUGAAGUCGUAACAAGGUAGCCGUACCGGAAGGUGUGGCUGGAUCACCUCCUUUUAGGGAGACCUAAUCCAUUUAGAAAUCGAAAACAAUGAAAAUUGUCAAUAGAAACUAAAGUGGUCUAACCUAGGUCGUUCGAGAUUGGUAGAUAUCUUUCAAAGUAUUAUUCGGCUUCGUUCAAAACCAUAUAUAAAUGGAAAAAGACAGCACCUAAUUGUCAAAGUUAGACUGCUGGAUGAAAUUCCAGCCAGAACCUUGAAAACUGCAUAAGAGAACGAGAAAAAGCAGGCAGACACAGACAUUUAGAUGGAUGUGAAAGCAAAAGAAAUUGUGGUCAAGCUAAUAAGGGCUAAUGGUGGAUACCUAGGCACACAGAGG